rnacentral:rRNA from 1 species
GAUGAACGCUGGCGGCGUGCCUAAUACAUGCAAGUCGAGCGAACAGACGAGGAGCUUGCUCCUCUGAUGUUAGCGGCGGACGGGUGAGUAACACGUGGAUAACCUACCUAUAAGACUGGGAUAACUUCGGGAAACCGGAGCUAAUACCGGAUAACAUGUUGAACCGCAUGGUUCAACAGUGAAAGACGGUCUUGCUGUCACUUAUAGAUGGAUCCGCGCCGCAUUAGCUAGUUGGUAAGGUAACGGCUUACCAAGGCAACGAUGCGUAGCCGACCUGAGAGGGUGAUCGGCCACACUGGAACUGAGACACGGUCCAGACUCCUACGGGAGGCAGCAGUAGGAAAUCUUCCGCAAUGGGCGAAAGCCUGACGGAGCAACGCCGCGUGAGUGAAGAAGGUCUUCGGAUCGUAAAACUCUGUUAUUAGGGAAGAACAAAUGUGUAAGUAACUAUGCACGUCUUGACGGUACCUAAUCAGAAAGCCACGGCUAACUACGUG